GCAGUAGUGGUUCAGUGUUAGAACUCCUGCUUUCCAUGUGGGGGACCUGGGUUAGAUUCCUGGCUAGUGCA
rnacentral:tRNA from 1 species